GACGAACGCUGGCGGCGUGCUUAACACAUGCAAGUCGAACGGAAAGGCCCCUUUGGGGGUACUCGAGUGGCGAACGGGUGAGUAACACGUGAGUAACCUGCCCUUGACUUCGGGAUAACUUCAGGAAACUGGGGCUAAUACCGGAUAGGAAUCCUUGCUGCAUGGUGGGGGUUGGAAAGCUUCGGCGGUUUUGGAUGGACUCGCGGCUUAUCAGCUUGUUGGUGGGGUAGUGGCUUACCAAGGCUUUGACGGGUAGCCGGCCUGAGAGGGCGACCGGCCACAUUGGGAAUGGGAAACGGCCCAGACUCCUACGGGCGGCAGCAGUGGGGAAUAGUGCACAAUGGGCGGAAGCCUGAUGCAGCAACGCCGCGUGCGGGGUGACGGCCUUCGGGUUGUAAACCGAUUUCAGCAGGGGCGAAGCUUGUGGUGACGGUACCUGCAGAAGAAGCACCGGCUAACUACGUG
rnacentral:rRNA from 1 species